CCUACGGGGGGCGGCAGUGAGGAAUAUUGGUCAAUGGGCGAGAGCCUGAACCAGCCAAGUCGCGUGAAGGAAGACUGUCCUAUGGAUUGUAAACUUCUUUUGUACGGGAAUAAAGUGGGCUACGUGUAGCCUUUUGUAUGUACCGUACGAAUAAGGAUCGGCUAACUCCGUGCCAGCAGCCCCGGUCA
rnacentral:rRNA from 1 species